UGGGGAAUAUUGCACAAUGGGCGCAAGCCUGAUGCAGCCAUGCCGCGUGUAUGAAGAAGGCCUUCGGGUUGUAAAGUACUUUCAGCGGGGAGGAAGGGAGUAAAGUUAAUACCUUUGCUCAUUGACGUUACCCGCAGAAGAAGCACCGGCUAACUCCGUGCCAGCAGCCGCGGUAAUACGGAGGGUGCAAGCGUUAAUCGGAAUUACUGGGCGUAACGCGCACGCAGGCGGUUUGUUAAGUCAGAUGUGAAAUCCCCGGGCUCAACCUGGGAACUGCAUCUGAUACUGGCAAGCUUGAGUCUCGUAGAGGGGGGUAGAAUUCCAGGUGUAGCGGUGAAAUGCGUAGAGAUCUGGAGGAAUACCGGUGGCGAAGGCGGCCCCCUGGACGAAGACUGACGCUCAGGUGCGAAAGCGUGGGGAGCAAACAGG
rnacentral:rRNA from 1 species